rnacentral:rRNA from 1 species
GAUGAACGCUGGCGGCGUGCCUAAUACAUGCAAGUCGAGCGAACAGAUGAGGAGCUUGCUCCUCUGACGUUAGCGGCGGACGGGUGAGUAACACGUGGAUAACCUACCUAUAAGACUGGGAUAACUUCGGGAAACCGGAGCUAAUACCGGAUAAUAUAUUGAACCGCAUGGUUCAAUAGUGAAAGACGGUUUUGCUGUCACUUAUAGAUGGAUCCGCGCCGCAUUAGCUAGUUGGUAAGGUAACGGCUUACCAAGGCAACGAUGCGUAGCCGACCUGAGAGGGUGAUCGGCCACACUGGAACUGAGACACGGUCCAGACUCCUACGGGAGGCAGCAGUAGGGAAUCUUCCGCAAUGGGCGAAAGCCUGACGGAGCAACGCCGCGUGAGUGAUGAAGGUCUUCGGAUCGUAAAACUCUGUUAUUAGGGAAGAACAAAUGUGUAAGUAACUACGCACGUCUUGACGGUACCUAAUCAGAAAGCCACGGCUAACUACGU